GUAAAUAUUCAUUCCUUAUGCCUUUUAUAUUGUCCUGUGUUUCUGGGUUUUCUCAAUCUUCAAGCUCGUCAUUUAGCAACAUGAGCCUAUUUGGUUCUACAUCCGGAAUUCAACAGACUAGCAACUCCAGUGUGUUUGGAACAAUAACCUCAUCUCCUUUUGGAAGCUCAACAUCUUUUGGCUGUGAGGAUUGGCAUAUAAUAUAUGCUACCCCUAAUACUGCCAAUUUCAUGAAAGAAGAGAUAUAAUACUUCCUUUUCUAGAGCAGCGAGGCGGCUUUGGAAUUGGUUGAAAAGCUAAAUAUGCUCCUUGUGAAAGUAGCUGUGCACAUUGAGCUGUACUCAUCUCCAAAAAUGUUAAAAGUAAUAACUGCAAUACCUCAGUGGGAUUUCUUAUGGACCAUUAACCUUUAAUGCAGCAACGAAUGCUACAUCUGGUCAAACACAAAACAUAUUUUCGGGUUCGUCUACUUUACCGACAUUUGGAAAGAAAUAUGACGCUAAUAGUAUGGUCAAUGAACCUCUGGUGUGGUCCAGGGAUGACAAUGUCUCAGACUCCUCCAUUCUUGGAUAUCCAAGAGCUCCUGCAUUAGGUGUUCCAAGAAACUCACACUUUGGCCCCCCAAGAUUUGAUUCCUAUUCCUUUGGCCAACCAGCAGUAUCCAUGUCAGGAAGAAAAGGAAACGAAAUUACAACUCCUUUGCUCAAGAGCUCUGUUUUGGAAAGUCUGCAUUUGGUAUUAAUCAGAAAGUAAGUAUAACAACAUCAGACAUUGCAUA